rnacentral:miRNA from 1 species
ACUCACCUUCUUCCCCCUC